rnacentral:rRNA from 1 species
GGGGGAUGCGAGCGUUAUCCGGAUUUAUUGGGUUUAAAGGGCGCGUAGGCGGGACGCCAAGUCAGCGGUAAAAGACUGCAGCUAAACUGUAGCACGCCGUUGAAACUGGCGACCUGGAGACGAGACGAGGGAGGCGGAACNAGUGNAGUAGCGGUGANAUGCUUAGAUAUCACUUGGAACCCCGAUAGCGAAGGCAGCUUCCCAGGCUCGAUCUGACGCUGAUGCGCGAGAGCGUGGGUAGCGAACAGGAUUAGAUACCCUGGUAGUCCACGCCGUANACGAUGCUCACUGGAUCUUGGCGAUACACUGCCAGGGUUCNNGCGAAAGUAUUNNGUGAGCCACCUGGGGAGU